CCAGUUCACCCUGUGGACAACAGGAAACCACUCAGGGCACUGGAAUGAGAGAGAAGGAUGCAAUUGCUUUGUUGUUUAAGAGGCACCCCCUCGAAGGGGUGCCAAGGGCAGGCUGAAGGUCCCUGUGAGUUGGGAAGAUCAGCAGCAGCGCAGUGGGGUUAAGGGAGCUGCAGCACUGACUGGAAAGAGGAGCCAUCCAUAGAGAAGGCAGUGAUGGCGUGUUGGUGGGAAAGGGAAAUUGAGAUCUCUGACAGUUAAAUUGAAAGAUAAGUGGAAGGGAAUCACAAUUACUGAAUGCCAGUCCCUGUGCUGAAUGCUUCACAGAAGUCAUUUAUUCUGAUGACAGCUCUAGAACUAGAGUUUCAGUUUCCACAAAUUAUGAAUUAAGACACAGAGGCUCAGAGACGUGGAAGACCUCAUCUACCACGUGGUAGGUUUAAGGAUUCCAGGGAAAGGAGAACAACUAACUCAUCCAGCCCACCGACACAGCUGGGAAUGUGCACGGUUUUUAGGUUCAAGCCCAGAUCUGUCUUUUUCUACAAUUUGUGCUCUGUCUUCUUCAUCAAGCUGCCUUCUGGAGGGGAGGAAAGUGGAACAACAGAAGCAGAGGCCAAGUGAAAUAGUUUCUCAGGUGACAGAGAGUGGGCAGGCAGCAGAUCUUAGUGCAGGCAAAUCAGACACCAAUUCAGAGGUGAUGUUACAUGGGUAUGCUCACCUCCUAUAUCCGCUGCUGAAGGAGCCGUGCUCAAAUACGUGGUAGAAAAUACUGAAAUUGAAGACAUGAUGAGGCAUUAUCCUGACUACCCACCAUCCUGAUAUACUGGGGGGAUCUUACAGCCUCAGCUAAACCCAUGUGAUUACAUAUUCCAAUAAGGAGCCUCUACGCUAGUUGAUGCUGCAGGAGGCACACCAGUUAUUAUCUUUUUGCCUCCUGGGAAUAUUCACUUUAUUACUAUAUAGUAAGAACAUUUAGGAGUAGCACUCUCUAGAUGAGCUGGUUGGUUAGGUUGACAAAAGCCCAUGCACAAAUGCUAGAAGUUUAAGGAGAAUGUUCAGUCACCACAAUCUCUUCUGCCCUCACUUGAUUUGACAGUAAAAGCUCAGGCCUUUGGACUAACUUUGGGGGAAAUUUUGACCAAUUAAUUUUAAAAAAAUCCUUAAUUUUUGAAUUUCUUGAAAGAGGUAUGUUUUUAAAUUUUCAAGUAGCUAGAAUUGGGCACACAAAGUGUUGCCAAGAGCCAGCUCUGCUUAGCAAAUAGUGACCACAUCAAAACACCAGGCUCGGUCUGGUGUGUUGUGUUCCUGCGCCCAUAACAGUUACAUCUCUUUGGUGUCAAAUGCAUGUUUUUAAAAAUCUUGAACACUGUUUUCUCUUGGCUAAAUAAACAAACUCCUUGAUGGCUAUUUAUAACUGUUUGUUAAGGUGUCUCUCAUAAGCUCUGCAAAGUGGUUAGAGCCCAAAAGGUAUGUUUUGCAGGUUGGCUGUUGAGUAAAGACCAUCUGUUUAGAUCAGCGCCUCAGUAUCUCCUACCCAAGGCCCCUGCUUAAAGUUCUGAACUAGUAUUUCUCGGCUUGUCAAAGCUAAGCUGCCAGCUUUUGUGGAUGAUACUGACUGUCUUCCUCCUGGGUAGGAGCCUGGCCUUGCAAAUUCGCCCGUGAGCCCAUUUCACCCUGUUUUCUAGCUCAUUUACCCCAGGGCUCCCUGCAACCUCUGAAAACCUUCAUAUCACAGAGAGCCAGUGUUUGAGGGGCAUUUGGUUUCAACUUGCUUGUGUUUGAACGUUUAUAUUUAUAAUCGUGCUAAUCUCUAAGGCACUCAAAUCACGUUAAGAGCUUUGUCCAAGGCUGCCAAGGAAAUUAGCAUGUAUCCACAUGACUGGGAAGGAUGAGAAAGUGGGUAGGGCCUACAGAAAGGUAAGAGGCUCUGAUGUUCCUUUCAGUAAUCUUUUCCAUGGGAUUUUGUUUGGAAAGCCAUGCAGCCAGGCCAUCCCCCUGUCUACCUCUCCCCCUCCUCCUCCCCCUCCCCCUCCAGCUGUGCUCUUACUCUCAGCCCAGCCCCUCUCUCGCUAUGGGCCACCCUGAUGGCCCUUCUCCGAACCCUGCUGUGUCUGUGCCACACCUUCUGCCACUUAGGGCCUUCCUUCUUAUAUCGCCCCCUCCUGGCUUCCCACAUAUUUGUCUCCAACCAAAGGGAGAGGAACAGGUGUGAUUCUCUCUUGGGUCCCCCCCAGAACUGAGGUUGUGCUGUCACAGAGUUGAUGCCCCGUAAAUAAUGCAGGAUGGAUGGUUAGUCAGGUGGGGGUGGGAAUGGGUAUGGUGGGUGGGAGGGAAGACACAGGGGGAAGGAGCUUAGAUUACAGCAGACAGUGUAGGUGUGGGGAAGGGAAUUUUGGGGGGAAGUCUGAACAGAUUAAUUUGACCCAUCUAUUAGGCUAAUUUAGAGAAGAGUACAAGAGGGAAAAUUCCCUUUGAGCAAUUAGAGAGGCGAAAGAGAAGCAGGGAAUGUCCCUGAUUGCAUUACAGAGGAGGAAACCAAGACGACUUCUUCUCAAGUCCUUUGCUGAAGCCACCAUGAGAGCUCAGUGCAGUCAGGAUGAAAGAGGCCCAUUUGCCUUCUCGGGGGAGACAUGGCUUUGGAUUCUUUGAAGAGCAGUGUUGCCUGUCAAAUUAGAGGGUUAUGACAGGAGCCGCCAAGUGGAAGUUGGAGAAUUCAUCUCCAUUCUCGCAACCCGGAUAACUCCUACCUUAGCAGCAGAUUUUAUGUUGCCCUCUAAUGUAAAAUCUAGAACUUUUACUGCCGGAAGUUCUCCAAUACGUGUUCACUAGGCUUCAGCGUUUUUAGGAAUCCCACCUAAAUCUAUGUCUUUAUCUCCAUGUGGAGAUGGUUGGUGUAUCAGACUAAAGCAGCUCACUAGAAGGCUGAACAGAGUCUGGUUCUAGAAUUUGUGCCUAGCGCCGGGGGUUCAGGAAAGGCUCGGUAACGAUGGUUUCACAGCAUAGGGAAACUGUGUCUUGAGAGAAGAUUGAUGGGAGCAAGGACAAAUGCUAGGAGAAAGCGGAAGGAUGGCAAAUUAAGAGGGAUGAAAAGAAAUGGCACAUUAAGGUGGGAAAUUAAGAGGAAGGGAAAAAAGAGUAGAUAUACAUAGCAAUAAAAGAAGAAAAAUCAUUGUGAUGCAUGAUGGAUAGAGAAGUGACUUUCCUGUUUUUCUCUGGGCCCUAAUGGACCCACCACUACUGAUCGAAGGUAAGAGCAGACUGAUUUCUGUGUUUUCCACUCUUAACGAAGAAGAGACCCCUUAGCAGUCUUUCUGAGACCUCCAUUUCUUUCAUUUUCAGGCUGACUCAAGCAAAGUGGGGAAAAAAUCGCAUCUGGACAAAGGAAGCUUAUCUCCCCGAAUCUCAAAACCUAUGUCAAGAGAACCUUUACUGAAGAGAGCCAUAGAGUUAAACACUGUACUUAAUUCCAACCAAAAACUAGAUAAAGGGUUAGAAAUCAGUGUUAUUAGUGGCCUCUCCUUCCUUCCUUAACUGCUAACCCUCAGCCAGGCCACUAUAAUAACAGUGUUAUUUUUCAUGCCUGAAAGGAAAAUCAGAGAUUCCAUCAAGAAAGGGCUUUUAAAGGGAGGCUGUGUUAUUGCAGUAUUAUUUGGACUCUCACUCUAAAUAUACAAAUGAUUCCAAUUUCUCUUAAUAUGGGUUGAGGGUGGCGGAAUUUAAGUCUCACUGGGUUAAAAUAGCAACUCAAAAACACACGUCAAAACCCCUAAUGUCAGCCAACAUUUAUGAUAUAAAUGAGCUUAGGUUUUUUUCUCUCAUGAUUUUAACUUUUUCAAAGAGAUGGAGCUUUUAUAAAUAAGCAAGCAUGGCCAUAUUCAGCCUACGACAUCUUGGCUCUGUGCAAGCCCAUUUAGCUGGGAGUCGUAACUUCAUUUCAGGGAAGAUGUGUGAGAGGGUGGACAGGCGAGAAGUUUUAUGUCAGAAUUCUGGGUUUGAGUCCUGGUUCCAUCAUUGAUUAACAACCUGUCCUUGGAAGAGUUAGGUAACUCUUGGUUAAUUCUUGGUCAUCAGGAAUGUGGGGGUGACAAGAGUCAUGACUUAUCUAUGGGUUGUUGGGAGGAUCGAACCAAUUGAUAGAUAAGGAAGAACUUGAUCAACUGCCCUGCAAAUAUUCAUUUUCAUUUUUAAUAGGUACCUUUAUAUUAAAAGGAAAGAGGCAGGAUUUCAUCCUCAAUGUGCAUUCACUCUUUAUUUAAUAAUGCUUUUGGUGUCCUACUGUGUUCUAGCCAGCAAACCAGCGACCAGAGGACUGCCACUUCCUAGUGUCACAUUGUGAUGGUGUGAGGUUUAUUCCUUAUCCAUUGCCAAAUGAUAAUUUUUGGCCCUCAGAAAUAAGGAGAAAAGCCCAAAAGCCAGAAAGAUAAAGGAUUAAGUUACUCUUUAAAAUAAUAAAUCUAUCUGUGUAUUCUCUUCUCCUUUAUAUGGUGCCGGUAAUUUUUAAAAUUAGAUUUUCCUCUGGGCCUUUCAUCCUAAAAAUGAUGAAGUUCCCUGUCCCUGGUAAUUGCAUUUCUUUUGAUUUUCUUUUAUUAUGACUUGCAUAUCACUGACACUUUUCCCCUGGAAUGUUAAAAGUAUACAUCAUCCAGCUAAAAGGGGAAAGAAAAUACUGUCUUAAUAAAAACGGCAAAGAGAGAGAAAGUGGAGAUUCUGCUCCUUUGGUUCCAAACAAGGCAAAGUCUUCAUUCCUUGUUCUUCAUACAUGCCAAGGUUGAUGUCAUGGAACCAAACCAGUUUGGAGUUAUC
rnacentral:lncRNA from 1 species